rnacentral:rRNA from 1 species
AACGUAGGUUCCGAGCGUUAUCCGGAUUUACUGGGCGUAAAGCGCGUUCAGGCGGUUUGGCAAGUCGGGCAUGAAAUCUCUCGGCUCAACCGGGAGAGGUUGUCCGAUACUGCUGGACUUGAGGGCAGUAGAGGGUGGUGGAAUUCCGGGUGUAGUGGUGAAAUGCGUAGAUAUCCGGAGGAACACCAGUGGCGAAAGCGGCCACCUGGACUGCACCUGACGCUGAGGAGCGAAAGCAUGGGGAGCGAACAGG